rnacentral:misc_RNA from 1 species
AAUCAAUUCAAAAUAAAUCAAAAUAAAUCAAAAUGAGAAAGUAUAAAAUAAAACUUCAAGAAUAGCAGACAUUAUUUUUGAUGGUUUGACAAAAAUAUAUUUUUUUUAAGGAGGAAUAAAUUAAUUUUGAGAUUAGCAAUCAUUAAAACUCAAGAUAGGAGAAUCCAAGUCAACUUGACCAAUUAUUUCACCAACUUACUUUUAAAAUACAGUACAUAUUAUGGUACAUAAAAGCAGAAACGAACAAUUGAAUACUGCUAAUAUAAAACUUGUUUUGAAAUGAAUUGUACUGCACAAGUGUUCUUAAAGUGUGUAUUAUAUUGUACAACUUGAAUUGAUGUACAGUGCUUGAAUUAAUGUACUGUACUUGAAUUGAUGUACUGUACUUGACUUGAUGAAUUUUCCCCUAAUUUAUGUACUUUACUUGAAUUAAUGUAUUGUACUUGUCUUGAUGUACUGUACUUGAAUUGAUGUACUGUACUUGAAUUGAUGUAUUGUACUUAAAUUGAUGUACUGUACUUGAAUUGAUGUACUGUACUUGAAUUGAUGUAUUAUACUUAAAUUGUUGUAUACUGUAGGGAGCUCUAGAAAGUAGUAAAGAAUUCUCCUGGCGGGCUGUAACUCCAGAAAUGGAGAUUGAGUUUCCUCUGCAAGAUGUUGCUAUUACAGUUGCUGCAGUUGAAGUACUAGAGGAACUAGCAGACCAGUCUUUACAAGGAGAGAAGCCAUUUUUCAUUGGUCUUGGAUAUCAUCGACCUCAUCUACCGUUUGUUUUCCCGGAGGAGUUUCUAAACCUUUAUCCUACAGAAGAUAUCAGUCUUCCUUCAAACAGAUAUGUUACUGAAAAUCUUCCAGAAUUAGCCUGGAGCACUUACCAGGAGAUCAGACAAUAUGAUGACACAUCAAAUGAAGGUCUUGGACUGCAGAAUCUUGGAGAUUUCAAUACAACUUUUCCAGAUGCGAAAACAUUGGAGCUCAGGAGAGCAUAUUACGCAUCUGUUUCCUAUAUUGACAGAGAGGUUGGGAUUGUCCUGCGAACCCUUGAGGGACUUGGUCUGGCUGAGAACACGAUUGUUGUGUUGUGGGGGGACCAUGGUUGGAGUCUAGGAGAGAACAGUGAAUGGAGUAAAAUAACAAAUUUUGAGAUUGCAAACAGGAUUCCAUUUAUCCUCAGGGUUCCAGGGGUUACAGAUGAUGGUUUAACCACUGACCAACUAGUUGAAUCUGUUGAUAUAUUUCCUACAAUCCUACAAGCUGCAGGGUUUCCAGCUCCCCCACUGUGUCCAGAGGAGUCAGGCUCUAUCGAACUAUGCAGAGAAGGACGUAGCUUGCUUCCUCUUCUCCAGGAGCAGAAAAAUACUCAGUGGAAGAAGUCCGUAUUUUGGCAAUUUCCGAGCUCUGGAAGACGGGAGAAGGAUGAGGUAUACGGUAUGGGCUGGAACUACUCCGGAUGGGGAGCAUAGCUGGACUCCGGACUGGAUAAAUCUCUGUGAUCAUGAUGAACUCUACGAUCUCACCGAUGAUCCCCAAGAGACCGUCAACAGGUACUCUGAUCCUGAGUAUGCGGAUUUAAAAACAAGUUUAUAUGAGAAGCUGAGAGCAGGAUGGAGAGCUGAAAUGUAGAAUAUAAUUUCUGAG